GCGCGGUGGUGAAACGGUAUCAUGUUGGGUUCAUAUCCCGAAGUUUUGAGUUCAACUCUCAACUGCGCUA
rnacentral:tRNA from 1 species